rnacentral:rRNA from 1 species
GACGAACGCUGGCGGCGUGCCUAAUACAUGCAAGUAGAACGCUGAAGCUUGGUGCUUGCACCGAGCGGAUGAGUUGCGAACGGGUGAGUAACGCGUAGGUAACCUGCCUGGUAGCGGGGGAUAACUAUUGGAAACGAUAGCUAAUACCGCAUAAAAUGGAUUAUCGCAUGAUAAUCCAUUGAAAGGUGCAAAUGCAUCACUACCAGAUGGACCUGCGUUGUAUUAGCUAGUUGGUGGGGUAACGGCUCACCAAGGCGACGAUACAUAGCCGACCUGAGAGGGUGAUCGGCCACACUGGGACUGAGACACGGCCCAGACUCCUACGGGAGGCAGCAGUAGGGAAUCUUCGGCAAUGGACGGAAGUCUGACCGAGCAACGCCGCGUGAGUGAAGAAGGUUUUCGGAUCGUAAAGCUCUGUUGUAAGAGAAGAACGAGUGUGAGAGUGGAAAGUUCACACUGUGACGGUAUCUUACCAGAAAGGGACGGCUAACUACGUGCCAGCAGCCGCGGUAAUACGUAGGUCCCGAGCGUUGUCCGGAUUUAUUGGGCGUAAAGCGAGCGCAGGCGGUUAGAUAAGUCUGAAGUUAAAGGCUGUGGCUUAACCAUAGUACGCUUUGGAAACUGUUUAACUUGAGUGCAAGAGGGGAGAGUGGAAUUCCAUGUGUAGCGGUGAAAUGCGUAGAUAUAUGGAGGAACACCGGUGGCGAAAGCGGCUCUCUGGCUUGUAACUGACGCUGAGGCUCGAAAGCGUGGGGAGCAAGCAG